CGGGGGACAACAUUUGGAAACGAAUGCUAAUACCGCAUAAAAACUUUGAACACAAGUUUUAAGUUUGAAAGAUGCAAUUGCAUCACUCAAAGAUGAUCCCGCGUUGUAUUAGCUAGUUGGUGAGGUAAAGGCUCACCAAGGCGAUGAUACAUAGCCGACCUGAGAGGGUGAUCGGCCACAUUGGGACUGAGACACGGCCCAAACUCCUACGGGAGGCAGCAGUAGGGAAUCUUCGGCAAUGGACGAAAGUCUGACCGAGCAACGCCGCGUGAGUGAAGAAGGUUUUCGGAUCGUAAAACUCUGUUGGUAGAGAAGAACGUUGGUGAGAGUGGAAAGCUCAUCAAGUGACGGUAACUACCCAGAAAGGGACGGCUAACUACGUGCCAGCAGCCGCGGUAAUACGUAGGUCCCGAGCGUUGUCCGGAUUUAUUGGGCGUAAAGCGAGCGCAGGUGGUUUAUUAAGUCUGGUGUAAAAGGCAGUGGCUCAACCAUUGUAUGCAUUGGAAACUGGUAGACUUGAGUGCAGGAGAGGAGAGUGGAAUUCCAUGUGUAGCGGUGAAAUGCGUAGAUAUAUGGAGGAACACCGGUGGCGAAAGCGGCUCUCUGGCCUGUAACUGACACUGAGGCUCGAAAGCGUGGGGAGCAAACAGGAUUAGAUACCCUGGUAGUCCACGCCGUAAACGAUGAGUGCUAGAUGUAGGGAGCUAUAAGUUCUCUGUAUCGCAGCUAACGCAAU
rnacentral:rRNA from 1 species